rnacentral:rRNA from 1 species
AUUGAACGCUGGCGGCAUGCCUUACACAUGCAAGUCGAACGGUAACAGGUCUUCGGAUGCUGACGAGUGGCGAACGGGUGAGUAAUACAUCGGAACGUGCCCGAUCGUGGGGGAUAACGGAGCGAAAGCUUUGCUAAUACCGCAUACGAUCUACGGAUGAAAGCAGGGGACCGCAAGGCCUUGCGCGGACGGAGCGGCCGAUGGCAGAUUAGGUAGUUGGUGGGAUAAAAGCUUACCAAGCCGACGAUCUGUAGCUGGUCUGAGAGGACGACCAGCCACACUGGGACUGAGACACGGCCCAGACUCCUACGGGAGGCAGCAGUGGGGAAUUUUGGACAAUGGGCGAAAGCCUGAUCCAGCCAUGCCGCGUGCAGGAUGAAGGCCUUCGGGCUGUAAACUGCUUUUGUACGGAACGAAAAGACUCUUUCUAAUAAAGAGGGUCCAUGACGGUACCGUAAGAAUAAGCACCGGCUAACUACGUG